rnacentral:rRNA from 1 species
AGCGAACGCUGGCGGCAGGCCUAACACAUGCCAGUCGAACGGAUCCUUCGGGAUUAGUGGCGGACGGGUGAGUAACACGUGGGAACGUGCCCUUUGGUUCGGAACAACUCAGGGAAACUUGAGCUAAUACCGGAUGUGCCCUUCGGGGGAAAGAUUUAUCGCCAUUGGAGCGGCUCGCGUCUGAUUAGCUAGUUGGUGAGGUAACGGCCCACCAAGGCGACGAUCAGUAGCUGGUCUGAGGGGAUGAUCAGCCACACUGGGACUGAGACACGGCCCAGACUCCUACGGGAGGCAGCAGUGGGGAAUCUUGCGCAAUGGGCGAAAGCCUGACGCAGCCAUGCCGCGUGAAUGAUGAAGGUCUUAGGAUUGUAAAAUUCUUUCAGCGGGGACGAUAAUGACGGUACCCGCAGAAGAAGCUCCGGCUAACUUCGUG